rnacentral:rRNA from 1 species
CGCGGCCUAUCAGCUUGUUGGUGAGGUAACGGCUCACCAAGGCAUCGACGGGUAGCUGGUCUGAGAGGACGAUCAGCCACACUGGGACUGAGACACGGCCCAGACUCCUACGGGAGGCAGCAGUAGGGAAUCUUGCGCAAUGGGCGAAAGCCUGACGCAGCAACGCCGCGUGGGGGAUGAAUGCCUUCGGGUUGUAAACCCCUUUCAGCAGGGACGAAAAUGACGGUACCUGCAGAAGAAGCUCCGGCCAACUACGUGCCAGCAGCCGCGGUAAUACGUAGGGAGCGAGCGUUGUCCGGAAUUAUUGGGCGUAAAGAGCACGUAGGCGGUUCAGUAAGUCGGGUGUGAAAACUCAAGGCUCAACCUUGAGACGCCACUCGAUACUGCUGUGACUUGAGUCCGGUAGAGGAGUGUGGAAUUCCUGGUGUAGCGGUGAAAUGCGCAGAUAUCAGGAGGAACACCAGCGGCGAAGGCGGCACUCUGGGCCGGUACUGACGCUGAGGAGCGAAAGCAUGGGGAGCAAACAGGAUUAGAUACCCUGGUAGUCCAUGCCGUAAACGUUGGGCACUAGGUAUGGGAUCAUAUCAACGGAUUCCGUGCCGUAGCUAACGCAUUAAGUGCCCCGCCUGGGGAGUACGGCCCCGCCUGGGGAGUACGGCCCCGCCUGGGGAGUACGG